rnacentral:rRNA from 1 species
CAGCCGCCACGGUAAUACGGAGGGAGCUAGCGUUAUUCGGAAUUACUGGGCGUAAAGCGCACGUAGGCGGCUUUGUAAGUUAGAGGUGAAAGCCUGGAGCUCAACUCCAGAAUUGCCUUUAAGACUGCAUCGCUUGAAUCCAGGAGAGGUGAGUGGAAUUCCGAGUGUAGAGGUGAAAUUCGUAGAUAUUCGGAAGAACACCAGUGGCGAAGGCGGCUCACUGGACUGGUAUUGACGCUGAGGUGCGAAAGCGUGGGGAGCAAACAGGAUUAGAUACCCCGGUAGUCCCUGUCUCUUAUAC